UACGUAGGGGGCGAGCGUUAUUCGGAAUUAUUGGGCGUAAAGGGCGCGUAGGCGGCCCGGUAAGUCAAAGGUGAAAUCCCUCGGCUCAACUGAGGAACUGCCUUUGAAACUGCUGGGCUUGAGUCCGGGAGGGGGUAGCGGAAUUCCCAGUGUAGCGGUGAAAUGCGUAGAUAUUGGGAGGAACACCGGUGGCGAAGGCGGCUACCUGGACCGGCACUGACGCUGAGGCGCGAAAGCGUGGGGAGCAAACAGG
rnacentral:rRNA from 1 species